rnacentral:SRP_RNA from 1 species
ACCGGGUGCCGUCGCAGGCUCCUGUGAGCCAGUGUCUAGGCGGUAGACUGGUGUGGGUGGAGUGAGGGUAGGAGUCAAGCUGUGGCCGUGAAGUGCGGCGACCAUGCGCCCGUGUCAGGCGUUGUGUCACCAAGGUUGUGCCGCCAAGAAAUGAUGUGACUGGGGCGGUCAAGCAAGGGUGUACGGCUUAAGCCCGAGAGAGAGCAGGCGGAAGCCCUGUACGAAACAGUCGUCGAAUAGCCACGUGAGCAGCUGCUCUGUCGUGUCCUGUCCGACACCUCCUGACCGCCUCUGUC